rnacentral:lncRNA from 1 species
UGCAGUUCCCGGGUCCCUCGGCCACCGAAGCCACCCUGCCCUGGUGAAAGGGCUCCCGCACCGCCCGGUGCUCCCCAUCUGCCUGGCGUUGUGCGCAGAGCUGGAAAGCAUGGCUGUAUAAAUGAAUUCUGAUUUUGGGGAGCAGAUGCCAACUUAGAGCCUCGUACCAAUCUCUCUGUCUUUAAAAGAUGAGGUGACUUGGUGAUUUUCCUGGAAAAUUAUAGUGCCCAGCUAAGACCUGAAUGCCAUCACCCUCCCCAGGGCUCUGCAGUUUUCUCGUGGUGAACCCUUGAUGGAUUUGUUGUUGCUUGAGAAAUGGCGAUGAUCGAAUUGGGGUUUGGAAGACAGAAUUUUCAUCCAUUAAAGAGGAAGAGUUCAUUGCUGUUGAAACUCAUAGCUGUUGUCUUUGCUGUGCUUCUAUU